rnacentral:rasiRNA from 1 species
GACAUAAACAUCCGCAGACGCAUUCGC